rnacentral:rRNA from 1 species
AUGCCAUGAUCUCAGAUUAUGCCAUGCAUGUCUAAGUAUAAGCGAUUUAUACUGUGAAACUGCGAACGGCUCAUUAUAUCAGUUAUAGUUUCUUUGAUAGUGUUUUUUAGAUGGAUACUUGUGGCAAAUCUAGAAACAAUACAUGCUUAUAGGCCCGACUUUUAGGGAGGGCUGCAUUUAUUUGAUAUAAACCAAUACCUUUCGGGGUUGUUUUGGUGAUUCAGAAUAACUAAGCGAACCGCAGAGGCCUUUGUGCCGGCGGGAAACCAUUCAGUUUUCUCCCCCACCACCGGCCAACGGUGUUGUUUUGAACUACCUGGGCCUCCACGGGGAACGAAAAAUUAGGGUUCAAUUCCGAAAAGGAACCCGAAAAAACGGCAACCACUCCCAAGGAAGGCACCAGGCCCGAAAUUAACCCAAGGUUGACCCAACAAAUUAUGGACAAGAAUUCCCCUGGCGGGGCAUUCAUGGAAUGGCAAGGGGAAGGAAACCAAGGUAAAACCCCCACCAAGAAUCAAUUGAAGGGCAAUUCGGGGGCCACCACCCCCGGUAAUUCCACCUCCAAUACCAAAAAUAAACGUUGUUGCAUUUAAAAACCUCGAAUUUAAACUUUGGGAAGGGCCAACCGGGCCUUGGCCGCAGGCCCUGGUUUGGCCUGGGGCCUAACCGGGCCUCCCUUCAUUUCUUUUUUUUGGGGGGGAGCACUUUCAGGGAAAUAAACGGGAUGGGCCAAAAAAAACAGUUGGGUGGGACACCCAAGGCCGGGAAAAAAAAAAACGAGCCGGGUACAAAAUUGGUGGGUUGGCAAACUAGGGAUGAUUUAACGGGCAGGGGGGGGGGAUUCCUAUUUAAUUUGCGAAGGGAAAUUCCUGGAUUUUGAAAAACAAACGCAUGGCAAUCCCUUUCCCAGGGAGUUUUCAUUAAUCAAAAACAAAGUUAGGGGAUCAAAAUAAUUCAAUCCCUCCUAUCCUUACGUAAACUAGCCAACUUGGAAUUUCCAAGUUCGUAAUGGACUGGGGCACCCCCAUGGAAAAUCAAUUCUUUGGUUCCGGGGGGGAUUUGGGCCCAAGGGUUAACUUAAGGAAUUUCCGGAAGGCCCCCCCGGAAGGGACCCGGGCUUUUUUUUCCCCCCCGGGAAAAUUCCCCGGCCCCAAAAAAAAAGGGUACAAAAUGAAAACCUUUUUUUUCCCGGGGGGGGGGGCGGGCCCCUUUUUGUGGGGGGAGAUUUUCCUGGUUUUCCUUUCAAAAAAAACCCCCCCCCUAAAUUUUUUGGUUCCAAAAAAAUUUUUGGCCUUUGAG